GACGCUAAGACAGGUGGUGCAUGGCUGUCGUCAGCUCGUGUCGUGAGAUGUUGGUAAGUCCGCAACGAGCGCAACCUCGUUAUUAGUUGUCCAGCAUUAAGUUAGGGUCGACUCUAAUGAGACUGCCGGUGAUAAACCGGAGGAAGGUGGGAUGGACGUCAAGUCAUCAUGCCCUUAUCGACUGGGCUACGACACGUGCUACAAUGGACAGUACAACGAGAAGCGAGCCUGCGAAGGCAAGGCGAAUCUACUGAAAGCUAGUCUCAGUUCGGACUGCAGUCUGCAACUCGACUGCACGAAGCUGGAAUCGCUAGUAAUCGCGGAUCAGAACGCGCGGUGAAUACGUCCGGCUUCGGUACACACCGCUCGCGCGGCGAGUCCGUGGACGGCGAAGGGCACGGACAGGGGACUAGGGA
rnacentral:rRNA from 1 species